rnacentral:miRNA from 1 species
GUGGGAAUAGCAAGAGAACUAAAAUUAGAGCUUGUCACAUCUCCAGACUCCACUUUUAGUUCUCCUGCUAUUUCCAC